UGGGGAAUAUUGGACAAUGGGCGCAAGCCUGAUCCAGCCAUGCCGCGUGAGUGAUGAAGGCCCUAGGGUUGUAAAGCUCUUUCACCGGUGAAGAUAAUGACGGUAACCGGAGAAGAAGCCCCGGCUAACUUCGUGCCAGCAGCCGCGGUAAUACGAAGGGGGCUAGCGUUGUUCGGAAUUACUGGGCGUAAAGCGCACGUAGGCGGAUCGAUCAGUUAGGGGUGAAAUCCCGGGGCUCAACCCCGGAACUGCCUCUAAUACUGUCGAGCUGGAGUUCGAGAGAGGUGAGUGGAAUUCCGAGUGUAGAGAUGAAAUUCGUAGAUAUUCGGAGGAACACCAGUGGCGAAGGCGGCUCACUGGCUCGAUACUGACGCUGAGGUGCGAAAGCGUGGGGAGCAAACA
rnacentral:rRNA from 1 species